UACGUAGGGUGCAAGCGUUAAUUGGAAUUACUGGGCGUAAAGCGUGCGCAGGCGGUUUUGUAUGUCUGUCGUGAAAGCCCCGGGCUCAACCUGGGAAUUGCGAUGGAGACUGCAAGGCUUGAAUCUGGCAGAGGGGGGUAGAAUUCCACGUGUAGCAGUGAAAUGCGUAGAGAUGUGGAGGAACACCGAUGGCGAAGGCAGCCCCCUGGGUCAAGAUUGACGCUCAUGCACGAAAGCGUGGGGAGCAAACAGG
rnacentral:rRNA from 1 species